rnacentral:rRNA from 1 species
GACGAACGCUGGCGGCAUGCUUAACACAUGCAAGUGGUGCGACGAACCUUUUAGGGGCAAAGCCGCGAACGGGUGAGUAACACGUGGGCAAUCUGCCCCGAUGACUGGAAUAACCCGAGGAAACUCGAGCUAAUACCGGAUGUGCAUGUCCCUCAUCAGAGGGCCAUGUAAAGGGAGCUUCGGCUAUCCGCAUCGGGAGGAGCCUGCGGAGCAUUAGAUAGUUGGUGGGGUAACGGCCUACCAAGUCGACGAUGCUUAGCUGGUCUGAGAGGACGAUCAGCCACACUGGAACUGAGACACGGUCCAGACUCCUACGGGAGGCAGCAGUGGGGAAUCUUGCACAAUGGGCGACAGCCUGAUGCAGCAAUGCCGCGUGAGGGAAGACGGCCUUCGGGUUGUAAACCUCUUUCAGUUGGGAGGAAGGUCGAGCGGUGAAUAGCCGUGAGACUGACAGUACCUUCAGAAGAAGCCCCGGCUAACUACGUG